GACGUAGGGCGCGAGCGUUGUCCGGAUUUAUUGGGCGUAAAGAGCUCGUAGGCGGCUUGUCGCGUCGUCCGUGAAAACUCACAGCUCAACUGUGAGCUUGCGGUCGAUACGGGCAGGCUAGAGUUCGGUAGGGGAGACUGGAAUUCCUGGUGUAGCGGUGAAAUGCGCAGAUAUCAGGAGGAACACCGGUGGCGAAGGCGGGUCUCUGGGCCGACACUGACGCUGAGGAGCGAAAGCGUGGGGAGCGAACAGG
rnacentral:rRNA from 1 species